rnacentral:rRNA from 1 species
GAUGAACGCUGGCGGCGUGCCUGAUACAUGCAAGUCGAGCGAACGGACGAGAAGCUUGCUUCUCUGAUGUUAGCGGCGGACGGGUGAGUAACACGUGGAUAACCUACCUAUAAGACUGGGAUAACUUCGGGAAACCGGAGCUAAUACCGGAUGAUAUUUUGAACCGCAUGGUUCAAAAGUGAAAGACGGUCUUGCUGUCACUUAUAGAUGGAUCCGCGCUGCAUUAGCUAGUUGGUAAGGUAACGGCUUACCAAGGCAACGAUGCAUAGCCGACCUGAGAGGGUGAUCGGCCACACUGGAACUGAGACACGGUCCAGACUCCUACGGGAGGCAGCAGUAGGGAAUCUUCCGCAAUGGGCGAAAGCCUGACGGAGCAACGCCGCGUGAGUGAUGAAGGUCUUCGGAUCGUAAAACUCUGUUAUUAGGGAAGAACAUAUGUGUAAGUAACUGUGCACAUCUUGACGGUACCUAAUCAGAAAGCCACGGCUAACUACGUGCCAGCAGCCGCGGUAAUACGUAGGUGGCAAGCGUUAUCCGGAAUUAUUGGGCGUAAAGCGCGCGUAGGCGGUUUUUUAAGUCUGAUGUGAAAGCCCACGGCUCAACCGUGGAGGGUCAUUGGAAACUGGAAAACUUGAGUGCAGAAGAGGAAAGUGGAAUUCCAUGUGUAGCGGUGAAAUGCGCAGAGAUAUGGAGGAACACCAGUGGCGAAGGCGACUUUCUGGUCUGUAACUGACGCUGAUGUGCGAAAGCGUGGGGAUCAAACAGGAUUAGAUACCCUGGUAGUCCACGCCGUAAACGAUGAGUGCUAAGUGUUAGGGGGUUUCCGCCCCUUAGUGCUGCAGCUAACGCAUUAAGCACUCCGCCUGGGGAGUACGACCGCAAGGUUGAAACUCAAAGGAAUUGACGGGGACCCGCACAAGCGGUGGAGCAUGUGGUUUAAUUCGAAGCAACGCGAAGAACCUUACCAAAUCUUGACAUCCUUUGACAACUCUAGAGAUAGAGCCUUCCCCUUCGGGGGACAAAGUGACAGGUGGUGCAUGGUUGUCGUCAGCUCGUGUCGUGAGAUGUUGGGUUAAGUCCCGCAACGAGCGCAACCCUUAAGCUUAGUUGCCAUCAUUAAGUUGGGCACUCUAAGUUGACUGCCGGUGACAAACCGGAGGAAGGUGGGGAUGACGUCAAAUCAUCAUGCCCCUUAUGAUUUGGGCUACACACGUGCUACAAUGGACAAUACAAAGGGCAGCGAAACCGCGAGGUCAAGCAAAUCCCAUAAAGUUGUUCUCAGUUCGGAUUGUAGUCUGCAACUCGACUACAUGAAGCUGGAAUCGCUAGUAAUCGUAGAUCAGCAUGCUACGGUGAAUACGUUCCCGGGUCU